GGUCGCGCCGAGGGCGGCGGGCUGCCGCGCAAGGGUGGCGCGCGCGCGUUUUCCUUGUUCCUGGUCAACAAAGAAAUGUGGAGUGUCUUGGCUGAAUCCUCAUACAGACAAGAUCAUUAUGGUGCUGUUAGGUUGAAAAAGUGAUAUAAUAAAGGAACCAAGGAGAAAAUUCAGAAGGAAAGAAAAAAUUGAGACAGAGCUUCACUGUGUUGCCCAAGGUGGUCUUGAAAUCCUGACCUCAAGUAAUCCUCCUGCCUCGACCUUCCAAAAUGCUAAGAUUACAGACAAGAGCCACUGUGCCCAGCCCUGUUUUCUCCAGUAAGCUGAAAUUUCUUCUAUAUCGGAUUCCUCUGUAUAUGUCAAGAAUCUAGCACAGUGCCUGGUAUAUAUUAGAUACUCAGUACAUGCUUAUUAACUAGACAGGUGAAUGCCCAGGUUUCUAAAGUUUUUU
rnacentral:sRNA from 1 species